ensembl:lncRNA
CCGGGAAGCCCUUGUUCACCAGGGGAGAGAGAGAACUCGGUUCUGGAGAAGUUACCGUUUCCCUCCACACCUGACUGUGGAACAUUCCUCAGAGCUUGGAGACACUGUCCAGUACCUGGAGAGGUCCUGUGCACCAUCGGGCCACCAAGGAUGCUCCACCGCCCGGAGGAAAACAUCCGUCAGACGACUGUCCUUCUGGGAUGAAGAAAAGAGGAAGACAGUCCUUUCAGGUGAAACACGUAAUACUCUGACCCUGGAAACCUGUCUGAAUCAGGCAGCACGUGUCUGUGUGCAGCUGAAAUAACAGGACAGCAGGUGAGUGCAGAAGCAUGAUCACUUCCCCCACCCUGGGUAUGGGUCUCAUGAGGCUGCAGAAAGCGG